GAUCAUGGCUCAGGAUGAACGCUGGCGGCGUGCCUAAUACAUGCAAGUCGAACGCUUUGUGGUUCAACUGAUUUGAAGAGCUUGCUCAGAUAUGACGAUGGACAUUGCAAAGAGUGGCGAACGGGUGAGUAACACGUGGGAAACCUACCUCUUAGCAGGGGAUAACAUUUGGAAACAGAUGCUAAUACCGUAUAACAAUGACAACCGCAUGGUUGUUAUUUAAAAGAUGGUU
rnacentral:rRNA from 1 species